ACGCACGCUGGCGGCGUGCCUAAUACAUGCAAGUCGAACGCACUCUCGUUUAGAUUGAAGGAGUUUGCUCCUGAUUGAUAAACAUUUGAGUGAGUGGCGGACGGGUGAGUAACACGUGGGUAACCUGCCCUAAAGUGGGGGAUAACAUUUGGAAACAGAUGCUAAUACCGCAUAAAACCUAACACCGCAUGGUGUAGGGUUGAAAGAUGGUUUCGGCUAUCACUUUAGGAUGGACCCGCGGUGCAUUAGUUAGUUGGUGAGGUAAAGGCUCACCAAGACCGUGAUGCAUAGCCGACCUGAGAGGGUAAUCGGCCACACUGGGACUGAGACACGGCCCAGACUCCUACGGGAGGCAGCAGUAGGGAAUCUUCCACAAUGGACGAAAGUCUGAUGGAGCAACGCCGCGUGAGUGAAGAAGGUUUUCGGAUCGUAAAACUCUGUUGUUGGAGAAGAAUGUAUCUGAUAGUAACUGAUCAGGUAGUGACGGUAUCCAACCAGAAAGCCACGGCUAACUACGUG
rnacentral:rRNA from 1 species